rnacentral:SRP_RNA from 1 species
GCCGGGCAUGGCGGCGCAUGCCUGUAAUCCCAGCACUUGGGAGGCUGAGGCAGGAGGAUCACUGUGAGUUGGAGACCAGCCUGGGCUACAUAGUAAGUUCCAGGUCAGUCUCAACUACACAGUGAGACCCUGUCUCAA